rnacentral:tRNA from 1 species
GGAGAGGUGCGUCGAAUGGUAAGACACUGGUCUUGAAAACCAGCGCCCGUAAGGGCUUGCGAGUUCGAAUCUCGCCCUCUCCGCCA